GUAGGUUUCCAACUUCCGAUGCAUUUUGGUUAGAUGUGGGCCCACGUGUCACUGUAAAAGAAAUUUUAUGCUUUGGUUAUUUGCUUUAUAGUAUAUAUAAAUAUAAUUAACUUUUACGCUAUAAGAAUUAUGUACCGAUAGUUUUAUGAAAAUUAUUUUAUAAGAAAAUAGUUUAUUUUAUUGAAUAUUUUUAUUAUAUUCAAAUGGUCAAAUUUUCACUUCAAAUGAAUGUUUUAGAUAUUUAAUUUGUUUUUAAAUCAUUAAAUAUAUAUUUUCGGCUUACUUACUACAUUUUUAGCAUGUUUCGAGAUUUUCGACAAAAAUGACGAAAAUGCCCCUGUGAGCCAAAAAAAAAUGUUAUGUUAUGAUUUGAAAAUGAUUUGUAAUCCUUCGUAUUUUGAUAUUUGAUAACUAUUGCUCACCAGGGAAGUGCGAAAGCUUAUACGAGAGCCUUGCGAGGUUUCGAUCGACAUUCGGGGUGAAGAAUGUUUGUCGAGGCUUCGCGGCGGUUGUCACGGGCUCGAUGGGGAGUUCCGGGUAGUGACACUACAAGCUAAUUUUGUGGUUGUAUGGGAAUUACAAUUUUGAGAUAUUCAUGUAUGACAUUUUGUUAUUCAUAAUAACAUUGAGGUAGUUCUUUAUCCAUAAGUUUGUAAUUUAAUUACUUUUUUUACUUAUGUAGAUCAUGGAACUAUAUAUGCCUUGUAAAGGAAUUGUAUUGGGAUACAAGUAUGAUAUCCUUAUGCAUUAAAGCAUUAUUCCUAAAAGUUUCUGAUCAUUGUAUUAUUGAGACAAGGCAUCAAUAAUGCUCAAAGAUUGGC
rnacentral:lncRNA from 1 species